rnacentral:rRNA from 1 species
AUACGGAGGAUCCGAGCGUUAUCCGGAUUUAUUGGGUUUAAAGGGUGCGCAGGCGGCCGUUUAAGUCAGCGGUUAAAUCGUGGGGCUCAACCCCAUUCUGCCGUUGAUACUGGGUGGCUUGAUUGCGGUCGAGGUUGGCGGAAUUCGUUGUGUAGCGGUGAAAUGCAUAGAUAUGACGAAGAACACCGAUUGCGUAGGCAGCUGACCAGACCGCAAAUGACGCUCAUGCACGAAAGUGCGGGGAUCGAACAGGAUUAGAUACCCUGGUAGUCCGCACAGUAAACGAUGAAUACUUGUUUUCGGCGAUAUAAUGUCGGAGGCAAAGCGAAAGCGAUAAGUAUUCCACCUGGGGAGUACGCCGGCAACGGUGAAACUCAAAUGAAUUGGCGGGG